rnacentral:rRNA from 1 species
ACGGGUGAGUAACACGUGAGCAACCUGCCGAAGAGUGGGGGAUAACGUCUGGAAACGGACGCUAAUACCGCAUAACAUACAGAGAUGGCAUCAUUUUUGUAUCAAAGGAGUAAUCCGCUUUUUGAUGGGCUCGCGCCCGAUUAGGUAGUUGGUGGGGUAAUGGCCCACCAAGCCAACGAUCGGUAGCCGGACUGAGAGGUUGAACGGCCACAUUGGGACUGAGACACGGCCCAGACUCCUACGGGAGGCAGCAGUGGGGGAUAUUGCACAAUGGGGGAAACCCUGAUGCAGCGACGCCGCGUGAGUGAAGACGGUCUUCGGAUUGUAAAGCUCUGUUGCAGAGGACGAUAAUGACGGUACUCUGUGAGGAAGCCACGGCUAACUACGUGCCAGCAGCCGCGGUAAUACGUAGGUGGCAAGCGUUGUCCGGAAUUACUGGGUGUAAAGGGAGCGUAGGCGGGAUUUAAAGUUGGGUGUGAAAUGCUCAGGCUUAACCUGAGAGGUGCAUCCAAAACUUAAGUUCUUG